rnacentral:tRNA from 1 species
GACAUUUUAACUAUACAAGUAUAUAUUUUGAAAAUAUAAAAAAGAAUUUUUCUAAAUGUCU